UUAAUCAAGACGCUGGGAGCUCUUACCAGGAAAACAGGGGAUGCACGCAUGGUAUGAAUUGACGACGACCCGACAACAAACUAAGGAGGGAGUGAGGCUUAAAUAGACGGAUAAACAGGUGAGCAGAAUUGAAAGUAAUUAACCGAAGGCGGGAGCAAUACAGAACUGACAGGACACUAGAUCACAGAACUAAAAUCAGAACUAAUACAGGGACCAGAAUAACUGAUGAAGUAAAAAGGCUAAACUGGAAUUCAAAACAGAAAUAAACCCAGAGGCAGAAAUAAGCCACUUAACCAAAACAAUAAACAUAGACCGGAUAACCUAAAACAGUACAAAAGCUGAAGAAGCCAAAACCUGAUAGCUGAUCAAAUAAAUAAACAUGAACCAAAACCCAAAUCAUGACAAUUU